GUGGGGAAUAUUGGACAAUGGGCGAAAGCCUGAUCCAGCCAUGCCGCGUGUGUGAAGAAGGUCUUCGGAUUGUAAAGCACUUUAAGUUGGGAGGAAGGGCAGUAAGUUAAUACCUUGCUGUUUUGACGUUACCAACAGAAUAAGCACCGGCUAACUUCGUGCCAGCAGCCGCGGUAAUACGAAGGGUGCAAGCGUUAAUCGGAAUUACUGGGCGUAAAGCGCGCGUAGGUGGUUUUGUAAGUUGGAGGUGAAAUCCCCGGGCUCAACCUGGGAACUGACUCCAAAACUGCAGGACUAGAGUACGGUAGAGGGUAGUGGAAUUUCCUGGGUAGCGGUGAAAUGCGUAGAUAUAGGAAGGAACACCAGUGGCGAAGGCGACUACCUGGACUGAUACUGACACUGAGGUGCGAAAGCGUGGGGAGCAAACAGGAUUAGAUACCCGGGUAGUCC
rnacentral:rRNA from 1 species